AAUAGAUACCCAGGUAGUCCACGCCGUAAACGAUGGAUACUAGCUGUCGGGGGGUAUCGACCCCCUCGGUAGCGAAGCUAACGCGUUAAGUAUCCCGCCUGUGGAGUACGGUCGCAAGACUAAAACAUAAAGGAAUUGACGGGGAUCAGCACAAGCGGUGGAUCGUGUUCUUUAAUUCGAUGAUAAACGAAGAACCUUACCAGGGCUUGACAUCCAGGGAAGCACUACGAAAGUAGAGUGUGCCUUUUGGAACCCUGUGACAGGUGUUGCAUGGCCGUCGUCAGCUCGUGUCGUGAGAUGUUUGGUUAAGUCCAUCAACGAGCGCAACCCUUGUGAAUAGUUGUAUUUUUCUAUUCAGACUGCUCUAGUAAUAGGGAGGAAGGAGGGGAUGAUGUCAGGUCAGUAUUACCCUUACGUCCUGGGCUAGAAACACGAUACAAUGGCAAGUACAAUGCGCAGCGAAGCAGUGAUGUGGAGCAAAUCGCACCAAAGCUUGUCCCAGUUCGGAUAAGAGGCUGAAACUCGCCUCGUU
rnacentral:rRNA from 1 species